rnacentral:rRNA from 1 species
CCUACGGGAGGCUGCAGUGGGGAAUAUUGCACAAUGGGGGAAACCCUGAUGCAGCGACGCCGCGUGAAGGAAGAAGUAUUUCGGUAUGUAAACUUCUAUCAGCAGGGAAGUAAAUGACGGUACCUGACUAAGAAGCCCCGGCUAACUACGUGCCAGCAGCCGCGGUAAUACGUAGGGGGCAAGCGUUAUCCGGAUUUACUGGGUGGAAAGGGAGCGUAUGCGGCGUUGCAAGUCAGAAGUGAAAGCCCGGGGCUCAACUCCGGGACUGCUUUUGAAACUGUGUUGCUAGAUUGCAGGAGAGGUAAGUGGAAUUCUUAGUGUAGCGGUGAAAUGCGUAGAUAUUAGGAGGAACACCAGUGGCGAAGGCGGCUUACUAAACUGCCACUGACAUUGAUGCUCGAAAGUGUGGGUAUCAAACAGGAUUAGAUACCCCUGUAGUC